AAUCAACGCUGGCGGCGUGCCUCAGACAUGCAAGUCGAACGCGAAAUUCCGAGCAAUCGGGAAAGUAGAGUGGCGCACGGGUGAGUAACACGUAGGUAAUCUACCUUUGGAUGGGGAAUAACAACCGGAAACGGUUGCUAAUACCGCAUAAUGCAGCGGCACCUAAUGGUGACAGUUGUUAAAGCGGGGGAUCGAAAGACCUCGCGUCUAAAGAGGAGCCUGCGGCGGAUUAGCAGUUGGUAAGGUAAUGGCUUACCAAGGCUACGAUCCGUAACCGGCCUGAGAGGGGCGGUCGGUCACACUGACACUGACAUACGGGUCAGACUCCUACGGGAGGCAGCAGUCGGGAAUUUUGGGCAAUGGGCGAAAGCCUGACCCAGCAACGCCGCGUGAAGGAUGAAA
rnacentral:rRNA from 1 species